AAGCGCUUGCGACCAGACGUGCGCCGGGGUGCUCAGCGGGCGUUCUCGCCCGUGCACUCGCCCCGGUGCAGGCCAGCGUCGGUUUGAGCGGGGGGAUAAAGGCGCCUGGAAUGUGGCUCCCUCGGGAGUGUUAUAGCCAGGCGUGCCAUGCCCCCGCCCGGACCGAGGUACGCGUUCUGCAAGGACGCUGGCGUAAUGGUCAUCAGCGA
rnacentral:rRNA from 1 species